AUUUAUAUAGUUUAUAAAAAAACAUUACAUUUUCACUGUAAAAAUAAAGUUUUAACUUUUAUAAAUA
rnacentral:tRNA from 1 species